CCUACGGGAUGCUGCAGUGGGGAAUAUUGGACAAUGGGCGAAAGCCUGAUCCAGCCAUGCCGCGUGUGUGAAGAAGGCCUUCGGGUUGUAAAGCACUUUCAGUGGGGAAGAAAGCCUUGGGGCUAAUACCCUCGAGGAAGGACAUCACCCACAGAAGAAGCACCGGCUAACUCCGUGCCAGCAGCCGCGGUAAUACGGAGGGUGCGAGCGUUAAUCGGAAUUACUGGGCGUAAAGCGCGCGUAGGCGGUCUGAUAAGCCGGUUGUGAAAGCCCCGGGCUCAACCUGGGAACGGCAUCUGGAACUGUCAGGCUAGAGUGCAGGAGAGGAAGGUAGAAUUCCCGGUGUAGCGGUGAAAUGCGUAGAGAUCGGGAGGAAUACCAGUGGCGAAGGCGGCCUUCUGGACUGACACUGACGCUGAGGUGCGAAAGCGUGGGUAGCAAACAGGAUUAGAUACCCCAGUAGUC
rnacentral:rRNA from 1 species